rnacentral:tRNA from 1 species
GGUGUAGCCAAGUGGUAAGGCAUCGGGUUUUGAUCCCGUGUACCGAUGGUUCGAAUCCAUCCGC